CCUACGGGAGGCAGCAGUGGGGAAUUUUGGACAAUGGGCGAAAGCCUGAUCCAGCAAUGCCGCGUGUGGGAAGAAGGCCUUCGGGUUGUAAACCACUUUUGUACGGAACGAAACGGCUCGCUUUAAUACAGUGGGCUAAUGACGGUACCGUAAGAAUAAGCACCGGCUAACUACGUGCCGGCAGCCGCGGUAAUACGUAGGGUGCGAGCGUUAAUCGGAAUUACUGGGCGUAAAGCGUGCGCAGGCGGUUAUAUAAGACAGUUGUGAAAUCCCCGGGCUCAACCUGGGAAUUGCAUCUGUGACUGUAUAGCUAGAGUACGGUAGAGGGGGAUGGAAUUCCGCGUGUAGCAGUGAAAUGCGUAGAUAUGCGGAGGAACACCGAUGGCGAAGGCAAUCCCCUGGACCUGUACUGACGCUCAUGCACGAAAGCGUGGGGAGCAAACAGGAUUAGAUACCCUGGUAGUCCACGCCCUAAACGAUGUCAACUGGUUGUUGGGUGCAUUAGUACUCAGUAACGAAGCUAACGCGUGAAGUUGACCGCCUGGGGAGUACGGCCGCAAGGUUGAAACUCAAAUGAAUUGACGG
rnacentral:rRNA from 1 species